rnacentral:rRNA from 1 species
UGAGUAACACGUGGAUUAUCUACCCUCUUGUGGGGGAUAACCCUGGGAAACCGGGGCUAAUACCGCAUAAGUCCGAGAGGAGAAAGCAGCAAUGCGCAGGAGGAGGAGUCCGCGGCCGAUUAGCUAGUUGGUAGGGUAAAAGCCUACCAAGGCUACGAUCGGUAGCCGGCCUGAGAGGGCACACGGCCACACUGGCACUGAAACACGGGCCAGACUCCUACGGGAGGCAGCAGUGGGGAAUUUUGGACAAUGGGGGCAACCCUGAUCCAGCCAUUCCGCGUGAGUGAAGAAGGCCUUCGGGUUGUAAAGCUCUUUUGUCCGGAGCGAAACGGGGCGCGUGAGUAUCGCGUCCUACUGACGGUACCGGAAGAAUAAGCACCGGCUAACUACGUGCCAGCAGCCGCGGUAAUACGUAGGGUGCGAGCGUUAAUCGGAAUUACUGGGCGUAAAGCGUGCGCAGGCGGUUUUGCAAGUCAGAUGUGAAAGCCCCGGGCUCAACCUGGGAAUUGCAUUUGAAACUACAAGGCUAGAGUGUGUCCAGAA